rnacentral:rRNA from 1 species
CGCGUGUACUGGUCCGGCCGGGCCUUUCCCUCUGUGGAACCUCAUGCCCUUCACUGGGCGUGACGGGGAAACAGGACUUUUACUGUGAAAAAAUUAGAGUGCUCCAGGCAGGCCUAUGCUCGAAUACAUUAGCAUGGAAUAAUGAAAUAGGACGUGCGGUUCUAUUUUGUUGGUUUCUAGGACCGCCGUAAUGAUUAAUAGGGACAGUCGGGGGCAUCAGUAUUCAAUUGUCAGAGGUGAAAUUCUUGGAUUUAUUGAAGACUAACUACUGCGAAAGCAUUUGCCAAGGAUGUUUUCAUUAAUCAGGAACGAAAGUUAGGGGAUCGAAGACGAUCAGAUACCGUCGUAGUCUUAACCAUAAACUAUGCCGACUAGGGAUCGGACGAUGUAAAUAAUUGACUCGUUCGGCACCUUACGAGAAAUCAAAGUGUUUGGGCUCCAGGGGGAGUAUGGUCGCAAGGCUGAAACUUAAAGAAAUUGACGGAAGGGCACCACCAGGGGUGGAGCCUGCGGCUUAAUUUGACUCAACACGGGGAAACUCACCAGGUCCAGACACAAUGAGGAUUGACAGAUUGAGGGCUCUUUCUUGAUUUUGUGGGUGGUGGUGCAUGGCCGUUCUUAGUUGGUGGAGUGAUUUGUCUGCUUAAUUGCGAUAACGAACGAGACCUUAACCUGCUAAAUAGCCCGUAUUGCUUUGGCAGUACGCUGGCUUCUUAGAGGGACUAUCGG